rnacentral:rRNA from 1 species
GGGUCAGUAGGUUGGUCGUGCCACCGGUACGUACUGGUCACAUUGAUUCCUCCUUCCUGAAGAACCGUAAUGCCAUUAAUUUGGUGUUGCGGGGAAACAGGACUGUUACUUUGAAAAAAUUAGAGUGUUUAAAGCAAGCUAACGCUUGAAUACAUUAGCAUGGAAUAAUGAAAUAGGACGAUCGAUCCUAUUUUGUUGGUUUCUAGGAUUGACGUA